rnacentral:rRNA from 1 species
AGUGAACGCUGGCGGCAGGCCUAACACAUGCAAGUCGAACGGCAGCACAGCAGUAGCAAUACUGUGGGUGGCGAGUGGCGGACGGGUGAGGAAUGCAUCGGAAUCUGCCUAUUUGUGGGGGAUAACGUAGGGAAACUUACGCUAAUACCGCAUACGACCUACGGGUGAAAGUGGGGGACCGCAAGGCCUCACGCAGAUAGAUGAGACGAGGCCGGAUUAGCUAGUUGGCGGGGUAAAGGCCCACCAAGGGGACGAUCCGUAGCUGGUCUGAGAGGAUGAUCAGCCACACUGGAACUGAGACACGGUCCAGACUCCUACGGGAGGCAGCAGUGGGGAAUAUUGGACAAUGGGCGCAAGCCUGAUCCAGCCAUGCCGCGUGAGUGAAGAAGGUCUUCGGGUUGUAAAGCUCUUUUGUCCGGAAAGAAAAGCUUCGGGUUAAUAACCCGGGGUCAUGACGGUACCGGAAGAAUAAGCACCGGCUAACUUCGUGCCAGCAGCCGCUGUAAUAC